rnacentral:lncRNA from 1 species
GCAAACUCAAGAGCUUUCACUCCACACUUGCCCACACGUUUUUGCCUCCAAGCUUCCAAGCUUUCAAGUGCUUAAGUGUCCUAGCUUUCCAAAGCUUCAAAAGCUCUUCAACUUUUUCUUCUAAUCUUCUUGUUCAUCUUUACAAGUAAGAAGUGUUGUUUGCUUUAAUAUUCCACUCCUCUAAUCACCUCUUGUGUGUGUCCACUUUGGUUGAGAGGGUUGUCUCAAUAGUAACAAAGUGUGAGAGUGAGAGAAGGUUUUCGAGCUCAACCAUAAAGCUCUAGUUUGGUUUUAUAGAGUUUCCGGGAAAACUCUUAGGUCGAAUCUACCUUGAAAGAUUUCUAGGUUUUUAAGAGUUCCUUGAUACUCUAAGGUACUAACUUACCCGUAAAAGUUAGAGGUUCUUAAGAGUGCCCUCGAUACUCUAAGGUGUGAGUCUACCCGUAAAAGACUGGUUCCUAAGCGAAGUAGCCUUAAAGCUUAGAGAGGUUUUUAAGAGUUCCUUAAUACUCUAAGGUACUAACUUACCCGCAAAAGUUAGAGGUUCUUAAGAGUGCCCUUGAUACUCUAAGGUGUGAGUCUACCCGUAAAAGACUGGUUCCUAAGCGAAGUAGCCUUAAAGCUUAGAGAGGUUCUUAAGAGUUUCCUUGAUAUUCUAAGGUUUUGCCAUAACCUUUAGGCGAGUGAAUUCUGGCAGUUGGUCUGGACUGGACUAGCCCUUGUUUGGGUGAACCAGUAUAAAUCUCUUGUGUUGUUCUUUGUUAACUCUAGUUUUUAUCUUUCAUCUAAAAACAACACUUAAUUGAAAAGGAUCCCUCUUCCAGUUAUCUGGUCAAAUGCAGAGGUUGACUACUUUACGCAGAUCCCUCAUCCAGUUAUCUGGUCAACUAUCUGAGGUUAUAUUAAUUGUUUUAAAUCCUUAUUCAUAUAUUUGUUCAAGCAUUUACUUAUCAUAUAUAUAUAUUCAGUUAUCUGGUCAUUUACUUGCUUAUCAAUAUAUCCAGUUAUCUGAUCAUUUACUUGUUUAUCAAUAUAUCCAGUUAUCUGGUCAUUUACUCUAUAAUAUAACUUGUGUUUAUAAUAUAACUUAGUAUUCAUAUACUAUAGUUGUUUAGUUGUUUAUAAAACACCAUCUGAAAAGUUGACUACGUAUUCAUAUACUGUAGUAAACUUCAAGAGCAAAAGGCAAGUCCAAUAUAUAUAAUAUUAUAAGAUAUAAUAUUAUAUUCUUUAAAAUCAUAUAAUAGUAUUAUAUUAUUAACAAUAUUAUACUAUUAUUAUUAUACAACCAUUUGUGUACUUAAGUGUGUGCAGGUAAUUCCGUUAUUAACUUGCAUAAAUCGAAAAAAUGCUAUUAUCCCCCCUUAUAGUCUCGGAUCUAGAUCCAACACUCUCGUCACGCGGAAGGCUAGCAUCACUGAAAGAAAUAAACCAAGGAAUAAGUUGUCAUCCAACUUCAAGGGUCCCUACAUCGUCGAAGAGGAGAUAAGGCCAGGAACUUAUCGCCUACGGCAACAGGAUGGAACAAUGGUUCCAAAUACCUGGCACGCGGACAAUAUGCAGCAAUACUAUGCUUAGCAUUCUUCCUCCCAUUCCUUAGGUCCUUUCAAUGUAUAUAGC